rnacentral:rRNA from 2 species
GAUAAACGCUGGCGGCGCACAUAAGACAUGCAAGUCGAACGAACUUAAUUGAGAGCUUGCUCUCAAAGCGGUUAGUGGCGGACUGGUGAGUAACACGUAAGCAACCUGCCUAUUAGAGGGGAAUAACAGCGAGAAAUCGUUGCUAAUACCGCAUAUGCUGUGAGUAUCGCAUGAUACAAGCAGGAAAGGAGCAAUCCGCUAAUAGAUGGGCUUGCGUCUGAUUAGUUAGUUGGUGGGGCAACGGCCUACCAAGACGAUGAUCAGUAGCCGGACUGAGAGGUUGAACGGCCACAUUGGGACUGAGAUACGGCCCAGACUCCUACGGGAGGCAGCAGUCGGGAAUAUUGCGCAAUGGAGGAAACUCUGACGCAGUGACGCCGCGUGCAGGAAGAAGGUUUUCGGAUUGUAAACUGCUUUUAACAGGAAAGAAAAAAAUGACGGUACCUGUUGAAUAAGCUCCGGCUAACUACGUGCCAGCAGCCGCGGUAAUACGUAGGGAGCGAGCGUUAUCCGGAUUUAUUGGGUGUAAAGGGUGCGUAGACGGAAAUGCAAGUUAGUUGUGAAAUACCUCGGCUUAACUGAGGAACUGCAACUAAAACUAUAUUUCUUGAGUAUCGGAGGGGUUUGUGGAAUUCCUAGUGUAGCGGUGAAAUGCGUAGAUAUUAGGAAGAACACCGGUGGCGAAGGCGACAAACUGGACGAUAACUGACGUUGAGGCACGAAAGUGUGGGGAGCAAACAGG